GAAUAUCUAAUCCUAGCUACAGCUGGAUCUAAUUCAUGGUAACUAUGACUAGUAAAAAGUAAUAAGUAUUUAUUCAUCCGGAUGUCAUCAGGAAAAUAUUUCAUGAAAUAAUAAAAACAAUCUGUAAUCAUCAUCAACGAAACAUCUGCUCACACACAGGAUCAGCGCCAAGUCUCUUGAGCCACGUGACCAGUCUAAGAAGGUACUGCGUUCGCCCGACAAUCUGAUCACAGAUAACGAAGAUCAUGGAAAAUUUUUCGAAUUGCAUCGCCUGACUGAAGUCGCUAAGCUCAUAAGAAAAGAUGACCAAUCUGAAGAGACAUCUUAUUAUUCCAACAAGAGAUCAAUCUGAAGAAUUAUCAUAUUGAUUCGACAACGAAGAUCAAGAAAUUUUUCAUUUUUGGUGGUGAAGUUGUUGAGCGGGUUCGAUCUUCUUCCUGACAAUACAGAUGACGAUUUGAUAAUGACGGAUUCAGCCAACGAAUUUUAAUUUGAAAAUUUUUUCUUGUCAAACCUUAUUAUUCAGAAUAAAUAAUUUAAUGCAUGAAACUUUCAAUUGAAUUUAGUUCCCGGAUAUAGAAAAAGAGAGAGAAAUAAAACUGAAUAAAACACGCGAGUACGAUUUGUGAA